AUUGAACGCUGGCGGCAGGCUUAACACAUGCAAGUCGAACGAGUGGCGGACGGGUGAGUAAUGCCUGGGAAUCUUCCUUAUGGAGGGGGAUAACUACUGGAAACUGUAGCUAAUACCGCGUACCAUCGGAUGAGCCCAGAUGGGAUUAGCUAGUUGGUGAGGUAAAGGCUAACCAAGGCGACGAUCCCUAGCUGGUCUGAGAGGAUGACCAGCCACACUGGGACGGAGACACGGCUCAGACUCCUACGGGAGGCAGCAGGGGGGAAUAUUGCGCAAUGGGGGCAACCCUGACGCAGCCAUGCCGCGUGUAUGAAGAAGGCCUUCGGGUUGUAAAGUUCUUUCGGUGGCGAGGCGUUAACUGCAGAAGAAGCACCGGCUAACUCUGUGCCAGCAGCCGCGGUAAUUC
rnacentral:rRNA from 1 species